UACAAAGAAAGUUCAGUAACAAAGUAUUCCGCCGACUUUCUCAAGCAAACUAUCGCAAAUAGACUCAACCCCACACCAAAUUUUAUUCCAAAAUUAAGUGCUUAGGCUAUAUUACUAGCAUGGCAAACCCUAUCUUACAUGCAUGUAAGAUACAUCCCCCUCACAUGAAUAGUGCAUGUGUGGGACCCACAUACUAUUCAUGUGAGAGGAAUGUAUCUUACAUAUGUGAGAGGAAUGUAUCUUACAUGCAUGAAUGUAUCUUACAUGCAUGUAAGAUAGAAGGACCCGCCUAGCAUAGAUGGGUGCCUAAAACUCAAGAAACAAUGUUGUCAUUCAGCGACAGUGAGGCCACCCGAUCAGUUGGGCUUGGGCCGGUGGCCUGCUGCUGAGCUACAUUCCUUAAUACUUC
rnacentral:lncRNA from 1 species